AACGAACGCUGGCGGCAUGCCUAACACAUGCAAGUCGAACGAGACCUUCGGGUCUAGUGUCGCACGGGUUCGUAACGCGUGGGAACCUUCCCUUAUGUUCGGCAUAACUCCCCGACAGGGGUACUAAUACCGGAUCAUAUCUUCUGCCCAAAGAUUUUUCGCCUUUGGAUGGUCCCGCGUUGGAUUAGCUAGUUGGUAGGGUAAAAGCCUACCAAGGCGUCGAUCCAUAGCUUGUCUGAGAGGAAGAUCAGCCACACUGGGACUGAGACACGGCCCAGACUCCUACGGGAGGCAGCAGUGGGGAAUAUUGGACAGUGGGCGAAAGCCUGAACCAGCAAUGACGCGUGAGUGAUGAAGGCAUUAGGGUUGUAAAGCUCUUUUACCCGGGAUGAUAAUGACAGUACCGGGAGAAUAAGCUCCGGCUAACUCCGUG
rnacentral:rRNA from 1 species